AAAGUCGUAACAAGGUUUCCGUAGGUGAACCUGCGGAAGGAUCAUUACCAAAUCCAAAAUACCCAACCCCUGUGAACUUGUUUUGUCUGUCUUUGGGGGGGGAGGUUUUUUGUUAAAGAAAGGCUUUUCCCCCCAAUAUUAUUAUAAAACAACUUUUUAAAUCUACUUUUGGAAUAAACUUUUAUUAAUUAUAAUAAAAGACAACUUUUAACAGUGGAUCUCUUGGCUCGUG
rnacentral:misc_RNA from 1 species